CGCCAUUUUAAACUAAACUGGGAAUAAGAUACUCGGGCAGAAGAAGUUAAACUUUCUUUUAUUUUUCUUCCAUUUGAAUGUGUGAGCAGUUAAGCCUAAUGCCGAAGUGUUUGGUAGUUACUCUCAAACAGAACUCUGCUUCGAAUGGCGGUUUGGAGAAUCCAGAUUUCAGUUGAAACGGAAACGAAUUAAAAACGUUUGGGGUUUUAACGGAGUUUGGUGGGUAUUUUUUUUCUUCCUGGGAUGGAGGUGGACAUCCUGGAGUUCAAGGUUCCUACGGACAACAACAAAACCGUGUUCGUUUGGGACAUCCCUCCGGUUCUGACCCAGGAUCAGGUUUAUGAGCAGCUCCAUCAUGUCUUCUCCUCUUUUGGACCGCUCUACCUGUUGAAGCUGUGUGCCAACGCUCCGCUCCACCCACCUGGUUUCUACGCCAUCAUCAAGUUCUACUCUGCUGCUCACGCUGCCAACGCCCAGAGACUCACAGAUGGACGCCCUCUGCUUCACAACUCCACCCUCAAGGUGAAGCUGAGUUCCAAGCAGACUCCCCACUUCCUGUCUGGCAGGAACUCUCCUCUGAGCCACGCCCGCUGCCUGGAACUGGCCAAUCACUACCUGGGCUUCAAUGGCUGGACCUCUGACAUCAUCACACUGAAGGAGCUCACCAAUGAAGAAGAAGGUGAGGAUGAAGAAGAGGAUGUGGGUGGAGCCAGACAGAGGAUAAGGUUCGGCUGUAUGAUGAAGCUUAGCUUCCCUCGUUACGGCGUGACGACCAGAGGAGCCGCAGUGGUGGAGGAGACCUUCAACUGUACAGGUCCAGACGUCCUCCUGCAGAGACGCUGCAAGCUGCAGCGGUCGGUCAGAGAGAAGGCCCUGGUCCAGGCCUUCUCCUCCGUGCUGCUCGUACUUCUAGAUCUGCUGCUGCAGGGAAUGGUAAGGUGAUGGUGGAGCUGAAGCAGACCUCAGAUCAGUUUGAGGCUGAUGAGACUGAAGACGUCCUGGAGGUGAAUGAGUUUUCCCUGUCAGAGGCUGAUGAUGAGGAGGCUGAUGAUGAAGACUGGGAUCUGACCGUGUCUUAGACUCUCUCAGGAUUACAGUUUGGACUGAUCUGAGGUCAGCUGCAGGCUAACCAGCCUCCUGCCUUCCUGAUUGGCUGGUUCUGCUCAGGUGUGUGAGACAGAAAACAGACUCUGAGAUGCUGAAUGUUUUUAUUUCUGAACAAAGCUGUGGUUCUGCACAGGAAGGUUCUGGUCUGAGCCGUUUAUCUCCCAGCAUUUCUCCCCAUUUCUGCCAAUCUCUGCCUCCCAGCGGGAGUAGAGCUCAGGCUUCCUCCCACCACUACGUAGCCCUGCAUGCAGGAAGCAACAGGCAGGAAGUGGUUAGAACAGUGAUAGAUACAUGGAAUCUGGUUAAACAUUAAUAACAGGCAGGAACUAGUGGAGAGAUGGGUAAAGGUUGAACAUUUUCAGAAACAUUUAUAGUUUCAGAUCAGUGUGCAACAUGUGGUUGCAUAUCUAUCGGAUUCAGAUCACUGUUUUUAAUUUUAGGGAAACUGAAAAUUCUUAAUUUUUUGUUGUUAAAAUAAAGGUUUCAGAAACGACAAA